rnacentral:tRNA from 1 species
GUAGGUAUAGUUUAACAAAAACGAUAGAUUGUGAUUCUGAAGUCAGGGGUGAAAACCCCCUUACCCACC